rnacentral:tRNA from 1 species
AGCCUUGUAGUGAUAAACACGUUAGAUUGCAAACCUAAAGACGCGGGUAACUCCGCCAAGGCUU